rnacentral:misc_RNA from 1 species
GAGAUUUUUUUUAUUGUAACUCUCAUUACCCUUUCCCUUCCUUACGCUUUCUUACCCUUCCAUUACUUACCUUUCCCCCACCUCAUCCAAACAGACACUUAGUAGGUGAUUUUCAUAACUCCUUAGACAAGACACCCCAAAAAUUGCAUUAUAUUCAAGGCUUGCUUAAGAACAUGCAAAGAUUUGAGUUUGGAAGUAUUUG